ensembl:lncRNA
GCAAGAGGGAGGCAGAAGAGAGAGAAGUGGAGAAACGGCAGCAUGAGGGGGACUUGGCCUGAUCUUGCUAGCUUUGAAGAUAGAGAAAUGGGGUAAUGAGCCAAGGAAUGCAGGCAGCCUCUAAAAAAGAAGAAAAAGCAAGAAAACAAAUUAUCCCUGGGAGCCUUCAGAAAGAAACACAGCCCUGGCAACACCAGGAUUUUAGCCCGGCAAAACCCAUUUCAGACUUCCGAUCUCCAGAACACUGCCUGAUGCUGACUCUAUUGCAGUGCUUACAGGGCUCUUCUCUUCAGCAGCUCUGCCCUUCACAUCUGCUCAAAGCUUUACAUUCCAGUUUCGGCUCAGGAUUUUAUUCAGUUGAGCCUCGGGUAUUUUUCUCACAUGCACGCUCUGAAUAAUCUGCUCAAUAGCAAAGGAGACCUUCUACAAAUAUCUGGGAUUCUCUCUGUAUGCAAGUCUCUUCUCACCAGUACUAUGCUCUGUGAACUUUAGCCACCUUUAGUGGACUCUCAGCAACAUCAUCUCAACUCAAAAGGCCCAUCCGACUCUGCCUGGAUUCCUUCUCCUCACCAGGAAACCCUCUCAAGACAUCAAACUGGGUCAGUUAUAAGGCUCAACUGAUUUGUUUCCUUUCUUUCAGGGAUUGCUUUCCAUAGUUGCCUGAUGUCCAACAUCUUGAAAACAAUUUUUGAAAUAUAUUUCGUCUUGUAUUAUUGUUGUUUCAGAUAGGAGGCUGAAUCUUGUCCCUGAUACUAAAUCUUAGCUGUAAGCAUAUGCCUCUAGAUCUCUUCGGUUUAAAGAUCUCACGGGUGGCUUAUUGUAUAGUCAUGAUUGAGAGCCACUGUUUUAAAUGUCGUUAUUGGGUUUGUAUUGGGGUAGGAUAAUUCAUAUAGUUAAUGAAAUGACCCCAGUUUUUUAUGAGAUUAAAUAAAAGAGGAUUUAUAAAAUUGUUUGUGAUAUAUACUUAACAUUCAAUACCAAUACCUUUUAUCAUUUUUGGUGUACACUUGAAUUAAAAAAACACUGUAUUAUGAUAGGACCAUGAACAGAACUUGAAUAACCUGGAUUCUGUUUAUUGAUUUCCCACCUACUAGUACUGGCAAACCAUUUAAACUCCUCAAGUCUUGUUCUCCUAAUAAAUACCAUGAAGGCAGAAACUUGUUCCUUUGUGCCUUAUGGGAUAGUUGGCAAAAUUAAAAUAUUAAAGAUGAAGGUCUUUUUAUAAACUGAAAAAUGACUUACAUAUAUGUGAAUAUUGUUCUCAAUCUUUCCACAGUAGACUUUUUUUAAGGUCUGUUUUACUAUGUGUUCUACAUUACCCAAUUGAACCAUGUAUGCAUGCAAAAUCUUUGAGGCAAGGCCCUUAAAAAUAUUUGGAUAGAUUUUUAAAACUUCACCUAGCUUAGAAAAUUUUCCAAACAUCUUUUUAAAAGAUUUAAAUGUUAAUGGAGAAACUGAUUUAAAAAUAACAAACACCUAGAACAAAGUGGAAAAAGAAACCCAGAAAUAAAUGUUUUGUUAAUGUCCUUAUGGUAAUUUAUAAAAAUAAGUUGAUGGCAUCACAUGCUGUUACCAUAAAAAAUAUAGAAAUAUGUUUCCAUAUUAUAUAUAUAAUAUAUCCCAUAUGUUGAGAUUUUUAAAUUCAUUAUGCCAGUGAUGCCCCGUAAUGUUUAUAAAUGGCAGAG